GAUGAACGCUGGCGGCGUGCCUAAUACAUGCAAGUCGAACGCUGGAGCUCUAGCUUGCUAGAUCGAAGGAGUGGCGAACGGGUGAGUAAUACAUAAGCAACCUACCCACGAAGACUGGGAUAAUCUCUGGAAACGGGGACUAAUACCGGAUAGGUAAUCGGAAGGCAUCUUCUGGUUAUUAAAGGUUAACAGCACUGGUGGGUGUGCUUAUGGCGCAUUAUUUAGUUGGUGAGGUACCGGCCCACCAAGUAGAUGAUGAGUAGGCGGGCUGAGAGGGUGAGCGGUGAGAGUGGGACUGGGACAAGGCCCAGACUGAUACGGGAGGCAGCAGUAGGGAAUGUUGAGGAAUGGGGGAUAGCCCGACGGAGGGACGCCGCGUGAGUGAAGACGGCCUUCGGGUUGUAAAGCUCUGUUGUAAGGGAAGAACGGUAGAUAGAGAAUAUCUAAGUGACGGUAACUUAUCAGAAAGCCACGGCUAACUACGUG
rnacentral:rRNA from 1 species